GGAGGGAUGUACCGAAUGGUAAGGUACCGGUCUCGAAAACCGGCGCCCGCAAGGGCUUGCGAGUUCGAGUCUCGCUCCCUCCG
rnacentral:tRNA from 1 species